rnacentral:tRNA from 4 species
GCCCCGAUAUCCCAAUGGCAGAGGAAGCGGUCUCAAACACCGUUUAGUGUGGGUUCGAAUCCCACUCGGGGCA